rnacentral:rRNA from 1 species
UGGGGAAUCUUCCGCAAUGGACGAAAGUCUGACGGAGCAACGCCGCGUGUAUGAUGAAGGUCUUCGGAUUGUAAAGUACUGUCAUUGGGGAAGAACGGUUUUCUUGAAAAGAUUGAGAAGGCAUGACGGUACCCAAGGAGGAAGCCCCGGCUAACUACGUGCCAGCAGCCGCGGUAAUACGUAGGGGGCAAGCGUUGUCCGGAAUUAUUGGGCGUAAAGGGCGCGUAGGCGGGCCUUUAAGUCCGGUGUGAAAGAUCAGGGCUCAACCCUGAGAGUGCAUCGGAAACUGGAGGCCUUGAGGACAGGAGAGGAAAGUGGAAUUCCACGUGUAGCGGUGAAAUGCGUAGAUAUGUGGAGGAACACCAGUGGCGAAGGCGACUUUCUGGACUGUAACUGACGCUGAGGCGCGAAAGCGUGGGGAGCAAACAGGAUUAGAUACCCUGGUAGUCCACGCCGUAAACGAUGAGUGCUAGGUGUAGAGGGUAUCGACCCCUUCUGUGCCGCAGUUAACACAAUAAGCACUCCGCCUGGGGAGUACGGCCGCAAGGUUGAAACUUAAAGGAAUUGACGGGGUCAUAGCUG